UACGUAGGGCGCAAGCGUUGUUCGGAAUUACUGGGCGUAAAGGGCGCGUAGGCGGCCAUCUAAGUCAGACGUGAAAUCCCCCGGCUUAACCUGGGAACUGCGUCUGAUACUGGACGGCUUGAGUAUGGGAGAGGGAUGUAGAAUUCCAGGUGUAGCGGUGAAAUGCGUAGAUAUCUGGAAGAAUACCGGUGGCGAAGGCGGCAUCCUGGACCAUUACUGACGCUGAGGCGCGAAAGCUAGGGGAGCAAACGGG
rnacentral:rRNA from 1 species